UACGUAGGGUGCGAGCGUUGUCCGGAAUUAUUGGGCGUAAAGAGCUCGUAGGCGGUGUGUCGCGUCGGCCGUGAAAACCUGGGGCUUAACUCUGGGCGUGCGGUCGAUACGGGCAUCACUAGAGUUCGGCAGGGGAGACUGGAAUUCCUGGUGUAGCGGUGAAAUGCGCAGAUAUCAGGAGGAACACCGGUGGCGAAGGCGGGUCUCUGGGCCGAUACCGACGCUGAGGAGCGAAAGCAUGGGUAGCGAACAGG
rnacentral:rRNA from 1 species